UACGUAGGCAGCGAGCGUUGUUCGGAAUUACUGGGCGUAAAGAGUGUGUAGGCGGUGCUCUAAGUUCGGUGUGAAAUCUCCCGGCUUAACUGGGAGGGUGCGCCGGAAACUGGAGUGCUCGAGCGUGGGAGAGGAAAGCGGAAUUCCUGGUGUAGCGGUGAGAUGCGUAGAUAUCAGGAGGAACACCUGCGGUGUAGACGGCUUUCUGGACCAUUGCUGACGCUGAGACACGAAAGCGUGGGUAGCAAACAGG
rnacentral:rRNA from 1 species